UAGCUACUCCCUCCGUUCCGAAUUACAUGUCUUAGAUUUGUCUAGAUACGGAGGUAUCUAGCACUAAAAUGAGUCUAGAUACAUCCGUAUCUAGACAAAUCCAAGACAAGUAAUUCGGAACGGAGGGAGUACGUU
rnacentral:pre_miRNA from 1 species